UACAGAGGGGGCAAGCGUUAUUCGGAAUUAUUGGGCGUAAAGAGCUCGUAGGCGGCUCGUCGCGUCGACCGUGAAAACCCGCGGCUUAACUGCGGGCUUGCGGUCGAUACGGGCAUCACUGGAGUUCGGCAGGGGAGACUGGAAUUCCUGGUGUAGCGGUGAAAUGCGCAGAUAUCAGGAGGAACACCGGUGGCGAAGGCGGGUCUCUGGGCCGAUACUGACGCUGAGGAGCGAAAGCGUGGGGAGCGAACAGG
rnacentral:rRNA from 1 species